rnacentral:lncRNA from 10 species
GGCUGGUCUUGAACUCCUGACCUCAGGUGAUCCGCCUGCCUCGGCCUCCCAGAGUGCUGGGAUUACAGGCGUGAGCCCCUGUGCCCGGCCAGGGCUCUGUUUAUGCUCUCCAGGGCUGCAUAUUUUGUUAAUGGCUUUGAUGAGGAUUCAGGUGGUUCCCAGAUUCGAUAGGCAAAUGGUACAAUGCUAAUAUACUGGUGCUUUAAUCACUCUCCAAAUGACUUAGCAGGCUGGAAUAAAGGACCUAACUCAGCAAAAAUGAAGUAUUUCAGGAACAGAUGCAAAAUCAGGAUUCAAAAACAAGAGAUAAUUAUAAAAGGACAGAAUAGAGGCUCCUAUUCAUUUCAACAGACACUUGAACAAAAGACUUACUAGGUGCCCAUGUGUUAGGCACUAUGCUAGGGACUGGUAUUACACAGAGGGUUCAGUCCUCCUAAUGCUCAGUCCAGUAGGCGAGGCAGACUUGUAAACAUUUCAUUGGCUGCAUUUUACAUAUAUAUCUAUAUGUGUUUUUUAACAUAUGUGUGUAUGUGUGUAUAUAUGUGAAUAUAUGUGUGAAAAUAUAUAUGUGAAUAUAUAUAAUGAAAAGAAUAUAUAUAUACCAGAAAUAAUAUAGGAGGAAAUGAUUAACUGACUCUAGAAAAGCUUGUGGAGGAGACACUAUCCAAGCACUAUUUUGCUUGAGGAAUAGGAGUUCACAAGGAAAUCUGUGAGGGAAUAAGUUGUACAAAGACAUGGUAGGAUGAAGCAGCAUGAUGUAUGAGGAAUUCCAGGUGGUUUGGUCUGACUAGAGUCUAAAAGGUGAGGAGGGGGAUUAUGGGAGAGAUAGGCAGGGCCAGGUCACAAAGGGAAGAUGUGAUAAUACCAUAUAUAGGAAUAAAAUGGGGGGUUUUGUGAUUGACUCUGAAUUCAGGUCCAACCAAUUUAAUGGAGCUGCUAGAAAUGUUAAUGUACGCCAGGUGCGGUGGCUCACACCUGUAAUCCCAGCACUUUGGGAGGCCAAGGCAGGAGAAUUGCUUGAGCUCAGGAGUUGAAGACUAGCCUAGGCAACAUAGUGAGACUCUGUCUCUACAAAAAAAAAAAAAAAAUCAAAAUACUGGCCAGCCAUGAUGGCGCAUGCCUGUAGUCGCAGCUACUGGGAAGGCUGAGGUGGGAGGAUCGCUUGAGCCCAGGAGAUCAAAGCUGCACUGAGCCAUGAUUGCGCCACUGUACUCCAGCUGGGUAACAGAGCGAGACCAUGUCUCAAAAAAAAAAAAAAAGUCUUUUGUGGGAAUUAGGAAUAGAUGAAAUUCCUCAGAAAAAAGGUCUGCAGCCAUGUUAUCCAACAGUACUUUCUGUGGUGAUGGAUAUGUCCUAUCUGUACUGCCUGAUACAGAAGCCACAUGUGGCUGUUGAGCACUUGCAAUGUGGCAGGUGCAGUUGAAGAACUGAAUUUCAGUUUACAUUUAAAUACCCACACAAGGCUAGUAGCCACCAUAUUGGACAGCAGCAGCCCUAGAGCUUUUAUUAAAAUUAAAUAUUCCCAAGGAAAUGAAGAAGUAGUAUCAGAAACAAAAAUGUUCGCUUUGUUGUAUUAAAAGUGUUCAUUCCUAAGGGAUGUCCCCUCAGAAUAUCUAGAAGAUUCUUUCAGACCAGAUUUGAGAUAUAAAAAAGGCAGUCAGCUGGGCGUGGUGGCUCACACCUGUAAUCCCAGCACUUUGGGAGGCUGAGGCAGGUGGAUCACGAGGUCAGGAGUUCAAGACCAGUCUGGGCAACAUGGUGAAACCCCGUCUCUACUAAAAUACAAAAAAUUAGCUGGGCGUGGCUGCAUGCGCCUGUAGUCCCAGCUACUCAGGAGGCUGAGGCAGGAGAAUUGCUUGAGCUCAGGAGGCAGAGGUUGCAAUGAGCUGAGAUUGCGCCACUGCACCCCAGCCUGGGCGACGGAGCAAGACUCCGUCUCAAAGAAAAGGCAGUCACAGGACACAAGGAAUAAAAUGGAAUUACUGAACUAUUACCAUGUACGAGCAGCGUUCUCAUCAUUUUCACACCCACAUUCAGUGAUUUAACCCUCAUCCCCAUCCUGUGAGAUAUAGCUGUUGUUAGCUUCACUUUAUAAGUAACAAAGCCAACACUGGCCCGGCACGUUGGCCCAUGCCUGUAAUCCUAGCACUUUGGGAGGCAGAAGCAGGCAGAUUGCCUGAACCCAGGAGUUCAAGACCAGCCUGGGUAACAUAGCAAGACCCUGUCUCUACAAAAAGAAAAGAGAAAAAGCAGCAGCCAAAGCUUAGAGGGGUUAUGUGCCUAGUUUGGAGUCGCACACAGCUAGCUGGGAAUCUAAUCUGGGUCUGUCGAACUCCAAAGCCCUUCCUCUUUCUUCUUACUCAGCUGUCUCCCUCAGGUUAUCUUUAGGCCUUGGGUUACCUAUGUGAAUGUUUCUCUGCUUGUAAAUACCAGUUGGUCUGUGACCCUACUCUAAGCAUAAAUGGAGGGACUAGAAGAAUUAGACUAACAAAUACAUUCAGCUCCUAAACACCCUCAAGUUAGUAUAGAUUUCAGAAUCAAAAGACUUGGAUUUUGGACACGUUAGUCUUUCUGAAUGUAUUUUCCCUUCUCCUACCUGCCUCACAAGAUUAUCACAAGGAUCAAAUAAGACUGUUGGGAAAAACUCCCUUGAUCCUACUUUUUUGGAUUCAGGUGUCCUGUGCCCUGUUCUAGACUUUAUCUCACUAGGUCUUGUUCGAUUCUGCAGGUUGUACAUCCUGGAGACCUGAAGAAUUCUGUUGAAGUCGCACUGAACAAGUUGCUGGAUCCAAUCCGGGAAAAGUUUAAUACCCCUGCCCUGAAAAAACUGGCCAGCGCUGCCUACCCAGAUCCCUCAAAGCAGAGUAAGGCCAGCUGGAGAGGGGCCGACAUCAUCAGGAGAGAGAGCUUGUCAAUGAGCCUUGGAAAAAUGCCUGUCUUAAAUUGAGGGCACAACAACCCAGGGGGUCUGAAGUGCAGGAAUGUCAUGUCCUACUGGCUCCUAGAAUGGAACUUGAGUCAUUUUGAUUUGGGUUUGGUUAACAUCAGGAAGUGAUCACAUCCUUUUGUACCGGCAUUGCUGAGAGCUGCUGGUGUAAGAUGUAUACUUUGGUCCUUCUAGUCUGUUUGUUAAAUCUGCCUCUUCAUUAAAGAUAGUGACCGGGGCCAGACACAGUGGCUCACACCUGUAAUCUUAACACUUUGGAAGGCUGAGGCAGGCGGAUCACUUGAGCCCAAAAGUUAGAGACCAAAACCCAGUCUCUACCCAAAAAAAAAAAAAAAAAAAAUUAGCCAGGCAUAGUAGCACAUGCCUGUAGUCCCAGCUACUUGGGAGGCUGAGGUGAGAGGAUCACCUGAGCAUGGGGAAGUUGAGACUGCAGUGAGCCAUGAUCGCACCACUGCACUCCAGCCUGGGCAACAGAGUGAGACUCUAUGUCUCAAAAAAAGAAAAAUGAUAGAAAUUAGAUUAGACCUAUUAUACCCAACCGGUAUAUAGGGUAUCGAUAGUUUCUUACACAGCUGUUGGGCAGAGCCUGCAGAGCUUAGAGAAGCUUAUCUUUAGAUUCUCCCAGUUUCCUUCUAUGUGCAUGGGCCUGGCUCUUAGUUGGCCAUCCACUUGUGCGUAAUGCUAAGAUAUUGGCAUUGAUAGCUUUGUGCGACCCUUCCAGAAAAAAACUCAGUAACUCAGUAAAAUUUUUUUUUUUUUUUUCUAAAAGAGACAGAGUCUGGCUCUGUUGCCCAGCCUGGUCUUGAAGUCCUGGGCUUAAGCAAUCCUCCCGUCUCAGCCUCCCAAAGUGCUAGAAUUACAGGUGUGAGCUACCACACCUGGCCAAGACUCAGUAAAUUCUAUGUGGAAUGCAUGAAUGGAAAUACCUAAAGGAGGCAAAGCUACUACUGCUCCCUCCCCGCUAGUCUAAUAAUUGAGGGAGAGAACAGAUGAAAAUCAGGUAUGUCAUGUCUGAAAGGUUGCCAACCCAGUAUUAAAGAAGUUACAACUCAGUGUUUAGACUCUGGGGAUUCUACACUAAAUCUUACCUAAUCUCAGUGUCUUAACGUGGUGGGAUCAGCAGCUGACCUGCCACAGGGAAGAAUUCUACCUCAUGGGGUUCUUCUCAUUCCCAGAGCCAAUGGCCAAAGGCCCUGCCAAGAAUUCAGAACCAGAGGAGGUCAUCCCAUCCCGGCUGGAUAUCCGUGUGGGGAAAAUCAUCACUGUGGAGAAGAGAAGGGAUAAACCGCCAGGUUGAACCUCUGGACCCUCCGGCAGGCUCUGCUCCUGGUGAGCACGUGUUUGUGAAGGGCUAUGAAAAGGGCCAACCAGAUGAGGAGCUCAAGCCCAAGAAGAAAGUCUUCGAGAAGUUGCAGGCUGACUUCAAAAUUUCUGAGGAGUGCAUCGCACAGUGGAAGCAAACCAACUUCAUGACCAAGCUGGGCUCCAUUUCCUGUAAAUCGCUGAAAGGGGGGAACAUUAGCUAGCCAGCCCAGCAUCUUCCCCCCUUCUUCCACCACUGAGUCAUCUGCUGUCUCUUCAGUCUGCUCCAUCCAUCACCCAUUUACCCAUCUCUCAGGACACGGAAGCAGCGGGUUUGGACUCUUUAUUCGGUGCAGAACUCGGCAAGGGGCAGCUUACCCUCCCCAGAACCCAGGAUCAUCCUGUCUGGCUGCAGUGAGAGACCAACCCCUAACAAGGGCUGGGCCACAGCAGGGAGUCCAGCCCUACCUUCUUCCCUUGGCAGCUGGAGAAAUCUGGUUUCAAUAUAACUCAUUUAAAAAUUUAUGCCACAGUCCUUAUAAUUGGAAAAAUACUGGUGCCCAGGUUUUCUUGGAGUUAUCCAAGCAGCUGCGCCCCUAGCUGGGAUCUGGUACCUGGACUAGGCUAAUUACAGCUUCUCCCCAACAGGAAACUGUGGGAUUUGAAAAGGAAAGGGAAGGGAAAACAGAGAACCUAGUGGUCUACCAAGUGGUUGGCAACUUUCCCAAUGUCUGCUUACUCUGAGGCUUGGCACUGGGGGCCAGGGCCUGCCCCAGGGCUCCUGGAAUUUCCCUUGAUCCAGCUAGGCUGGGACACUCCCUAAAUCAGCUGCGUGUUGUUAGCAUCAGGCAGAAUGAAUGGCAGAGAGUGAUUCUGUCUUCAUAGAGGGUGGGGUACUUCUCCAUAAGGCAUCUCAGUCAAAUCCCCAUCACUGUCAUAAAUUCAAAUAAAAUGUCUGAAC